AAGAAGUUGAGUGUUUAAGACUGCUGUUUGAAGGAGAAGUCUAGCCUCAAGACAAAAGUUCAGGACUCAUCAGCUGAGAAAUGGCACUGAAAAUUACGUAAAUGGAUGAGCUCAGCUAGCAAACAAGACCAGAGAGAGCAGAAAGUCCAGAGAGAGCAGCACUGGGCUAUGCACCUGGCCUAAUGCUGCCCCGCUCCUCCCAAUCCCUGUGUUAUGCUGGAGAGGGUUCAGCCUCUGGUGAGUUUCACCAAACCCCCACAUCUCUUUCUUCUGAGACCUUCUCUAAAAUCCCGUCUUUUAUACUUAGUGAAAUGGGAUUCUCUUUUUCCCAUCCAGCUUAAGCAAAAACUUUUGACUAUGAGAAGAAUGAGGAUGCAUUUAUUAUCUGUUCUGCAUGGCUAAUUCCAUCAAAGAUUUCUCAUUAUUCAUGCCUGGCACUCUCAUUUUCUUCUUUUGCAUCUAAGAGCACAGUCGUAGCCUUAAUUACUUACCUUUUCACUCUUCUAAUACCAGCGAUUUCCCCCAUCUCAGUUCUCAGGAAGUUCUGUUUGCAGAAUUAUCUCCUGAAUCCUCACCUGGAGAUAGAAAUUGUUCUCUGUGGCCAUUUCUUCCCCCUCUAAUUCUUAUCAAAAAACUCAGUGAUCUCUGUGCAUCAAAUAUUAAACUCAAGCUCAACAGAUCAUGAUUCUGGCUUGUCUCUCUCUCCGGCCUGUGGGUUAACAGGUUUGCAACCUUUGCAGAGAAGACACCAAAUUCUCAGGAGGCCAGAGUUUCCAAAGGUACUAGUCACUCUUGCUCUCUUUCUCCUGCUCAAAAUUCAGCACUAGAGAGUGUUACACCAUUGCACCUGCAGAGGAGUUCAUCUGACUCUAGGGACUACAGAGGAGAGAGAUGGACAAACUAACAGGCAUUCAGAAAAUGACUACCACAAUGGGGAAGAAAAUGAAAGUCAAAACAAAUAAGCAAUGGUCAAAAAAAAGAAAAAUCUAGAGGGCAGCUGCAGUGGCUCACACGUGUAAUCCCAGCACUCUGGGAGGCCGAGGCAGGUGGAUCACUUGAGAUCAGGAGUUCGAGACCAGCCUGGGCAACAUAGGGAAAUCACAUCUCUACUAAAAAUACAAAAAUUAGCCAAGUGUGGUGGCGGGCACCUGUAAUCCCAGCAUUUUGGGAGGCUGAGGUGGGUGGAUCACCUGAUGUCAGGAGUUUGAGACCAGCCUGGCCAACAUGGUGAAACCCUAUUUCUAUUAAAAAACACAAAAAUUAGCCAGGUGUGGUGGCAGGUGCCUGUAAUCCCAGCUACUUGGGAGGCUGAGGCAGGAGAAUUGCUUGAACCCAGGAGGCAGAGGUUGUGGCGAGCAAAGCUUGCACCACUGCACUCCAGCCUGGGCAAAAGUGAGACUGUCUCAAAAAAAAAAAAAAAAACCAACCUAGGGCUGUCCAUCCAGGCUGAAGAGAAUAUUCCAGAGCAGAGGUUGGGACACUAUGGCCCAUGGGCCAAAUCUGACCUGCUUUGCACAUGUGUUUGUCAAUAAAGUUUUAUUGAAACACAGCCAUGCACAUUUGCUACAUAUUGUCUAUGGCUGCUGGAUUUGGCUGUUCUCUCAUGCUAUAAAGAAAUACCUGAGGCUGGGUAAUAUAUUAAAAAAAGAGGUUUAAUUGGCUCACAGUUUUGUAGGCUAUACAGGGAGCAUGACACUGACAGCCGCUGAGCUUCUGUGGAGGCCUCAGGAAACUUACAAUGAUGGCAGAAGGUGAAGCGGGAGCAAGAGAGUAAGGUGGGAGGUGCUACACACUCGUAAACAACCCGAUCUUGCAAGAACUCACUCACUAUUGCAAGGACAGGACCAAAAGGAUGACGCUAAAUCAUUCAUGAGAAAUCCACCCCCAUGAUCCAAUCUCUUCCCACCAGGCCCCACCUCUAACACUGGGGACAGCUUUUAUCUUGGCUUUUUCACUGGCAGCCCCUUCCUCAAGGACUUAACUUGUGCAAGCUGACUCUUAGCACAUCCAAGAAUGCAAUUAACUGAUAAGAUACUGUGGGGCGAGCAAUAUCCGCAGUUCCCAGGAAUUUGUCCGAUUGAUAAUGCCUAAAGCCCCACGUCUAUCAUUUUGUAAUAGUCUUAAAGCCCUUAGACCUAGAACUGUUUACUUUCCUGUAACAAUUUAUCCUUUUAACUUUUUUGCCUACUUUACUUCUGUAAAAUUCUUUUAACUAGACCCGUUUCCCCUUUCUAAACUGAAGUAUAAAAGAAAAUCUAGCCCCUUCUUCGGGGCCAAGAGAACUUUAAGAGUUAGCCAUUUCUUGACCGCCAGCUAAAUAAGCAGACUCUUAAUUCAUGUGAAAGUGUGGCAUUUUCUCUAACUCUUUCAAGUACAACAUUUGGAGGCCCCAGCGAGAAACGCCAUGAGGCGAGAGCCGGGCUCGCUCCGGGCUCCCCCAGAAGGACGGCCGGCUUGUUGGGGGGUGCCACCUAAAAAAAAUUUUCAGGUCCUCGAAAGGUGACCGUCUUCCAGAGGAGAGCGGAUCGACUACCGUGUGGGUGACCAUAAAAAUUCCACCUCUGAGUCCUCGACUUCUGACCCCAAGGUCAGGCUGACCACCACAGUCCUGUCUUUUCUGCCAGAAGCAAGUCAAGUGUUGUUACAAGAACAAGUGUGAAAAACAUUUGCCUGAUUAAGAUUUCUAGCACCAUGAAAGUUGUACAAGAUAUUAUCCUGCCACUUGUUUGAGGAGCCCUUCCCAAUCCAAUUCCUGACCAGAAAAAGUCCUGCCAUUCAUUCCAGCCAGGAGACCUAGCAUUUGUUAAAAAGUUCCAAAAAGAAAGACUCACUCCUGCUUAGAAAAGACCUCACACCGUCAUCCUCACGACUCCAACUGCUCUGAAAGUAGGCGGCAUUCCUGCUAGAUUCAUCACUCCCGCAUCAAAAAGUCCAACAGAGCCCAGCUCAAAACAUAAGUCCCCAGGCCUAAGUCAGGCCCCUUAAAACUGCACCUAAGUCAGGUGAAGCCAUUAGAUUCAUUCUUUUUGUCUACCUCACUUAUUUGUUUUUGCCAGUUACAUCCUCUGUGCCUUCCUACUCCUUUCUCCUCACCUCUUUCACAACAGGACGUGUAUUUGCAAACACCACUUAGAAGGUCCGUACCUCCAAGGAAGUCUCCUUUGCAGUUGAUUUAUUUGUACUAUUCCCAAAGCCAGCCCACACCCACAAAAACAACACCAUCUGCCAGUCCCAGGAGCAGGAAGUGUCGACCUUGCAGCAAGAUUCAGACACUCCAAGAGCCAAACUAAUUGCAGAAGCUCCAAAAGUGCAGAAAAAAAGACUCCAAAAUGUUGACUUUUACCUCUGUCCUAGAAAUCACCCUGACGCUAGCUGUCAAGAUGCUUAUCAGUUUUUCUGCCCUGAUUAGACAUGUGUAACUUUAGCCACCUACUCUAAAAGAUCAACCAGAUCUUCAACUCUUUCCAUAACUCGUGCUUCUCAUCCUAAAUUAUGUACUAGAAAAAACUGUAAUCCUCUAACUGUCCAUGACCUUAAUUCAACUCAAUAGUAUCAUGGCAUGUCAUGAACAUUAAGAUUUUAUAUCCCAGGAUUUAAUGUUAAGUAUAUGUUCACCAUCCAAAAAAACCCUAGUCUCAUAAAGCCCACCCAAGUCAAUCAGGCCUUUAACUGAUCUAAGUAACCCUAUGUUCCAGGAACACCCUGACAAAGUUGAUUUAACUGUUCCUCCACCUUUCUUAGUCAUAAAAGAUACACUCCAAAAAGUGCAAGAAAAUCUAGAAAAGCGCCAACAAGAACAAGAAAGUAACAUCCCCUAGUAUCAACGCAUGUUCAACUAGAACCCAUAGCUAACCACUCUAAUUACUAAGUUAGCUGGACCCCCUCCCCAUCCUACUAAUAAGUCUAAUUUUGGGGCAUUGUAUAUUAAGUUAGUUUCUUAAUUUUGUAAAACAACGAAUAGCUUCUGUCAAACUUAUGUAUCUGAAGACUCAAAAUAACCCCCUUUUUAUAACUGAAGAAUCAACGAUUUGAUUCCCCAAAAACACAAGUGAGGAAUGUAAUGCCCAACCAUGUUUUUACUCACCCUGUUUUUAGACUCUCCCUUUCUUUUAAUGACCUAGCCUUGUUUCCACCUGAAUUGACUCUCCCUUAGCUAAGAGAGCCAGACAGAUUCCAUCUUGGCUCUUUCACUGGCAGCCCCUUCCUCAGGGACUUAACUUGUGCAAGCUGACUCCCAGCACAUCGAAGAAUGCAAUUAACUGAUAAGAUACUGUGGCGAGCAAUAUCCGCAGUUCCCAGGAAUUCAUCCGAUUGAUAACGCCCAAAGCCCCGCGUCUAUCACCUUAUAAUAGUGUUAAAGGCCCUAGACCUAAAACUGUUUACUUUCCUGUAACAAUUUAUCCUUUUAACUUUUUUGUCUACUUUACUUAUGUAAAAUUGUUUUAACUAGAACCCCCUCCCCUUUCUAAACCAAAGUAUAAAAGAAAAUCUUAGCCCCUUCUUCGAAGCCGAGAGAACUUUAAACGUUAGCCGUUUCUUUGCCGCCGGCUAAGUAAACAGACUCUUAAUUCAUCUCAAAGUGUAGCGUUUUCUCAAACUCGCUCAAGAACAACACAUCCAGCAGGCAAGUCAUCCACUCUAAAAUGCCAUCCUGGGGUAGUGAAGAUGAUGUUGCUGGAAAUAUCCUUAAAUGGCAUGUGGAUGAGUUCCCCCAGAGGCAUACAUGUUGAGCUAAGAACUUUGCUGAUGAAGGGUACAAGUUGAAGGGGUUU
rnacentral:lncRNA from 10 species